GCAAGCGGACCGCUCCGGACAUUUUUAAAGUACCAUUUGGAAGUAUACUUAUGAGAUGGUGACCUGUUUCCUACAUCACUACUUCACCACCAAAUGAAGAAAAAAAAUACAGCGGCCUAGAAAUAAGGUUUUACAAUUAAUUUCAUAAUAUAUGGAAUUCAAAGAAAAAUUUGAUUCUCCGAACAUGACAAAAAUCAAGUUUGGAGACUUAUAACAGAGAGGCUGAGGAAGGAUUCUUUUCCUGUCCGAAUAGAGCAGGUGGAAAAUGCCAUGGAAGAGGCGAUUGGCAAAAUGCCAGAAAUAGCACCGGUCGCAACCUGCCAAAGCAGCAAAGUGAAUUAAGUUUCUGCUUCAUCAUCAUCGACCACACCCAGUAUGAUAGAAACUCCAACUACCUAUCCACCUGAUUCAAUAACUCCUCUUUCAACUCCAAGAAAAAGAAAUAAAAGGAGUUUUGAAGUCAUAUCUGAUGUCCUUUCUGAAUUCAGGGAAGAUUUACGAGUCAGAAGGGAGGAAAGGAAAGAGGAGAGAAAACAAUUAUUUUCUUUAUUAGAAAAAUUAAUCGAUAAAUAUUGGUAAUAUACCAGAUGUUAUUUAUCUGAAAUGUCAGUUUUUUCAACAGUUCUUUAAAGAAGUUGUAUAAUUUAAAAAAAAAAAAAUUGUUCUUCAUUAAAAAGUUUCUUAUUACAGAUAAAA